rnacentral:snRNA from 1 species
UUGCUCUGGCAGCACAUAUACCAAAAUUGGAACAAUACAGAAAGAUUAGAAUGGCCCCCAAAGACAGUUAACAUGUAAAUGCUUGAAGCAAUUCAU